UUCAAAACAUAAUACAUUUAUGAAUGGGGAACCUCGGAAGACCUCUACUCCAAGGCAAAAGGACUCAUUAGUUCGUUGAAACGACAAGAAGUAAUACAAGUUUUAUUAGUUUCACACAAAACAUAAUAAAGGUUCUUUAAAAUCUACACAGUUACAGUAGGUAAUUCAAUAAAAAAAAAGUACUUUUUAAUCUAAAGGAUAAGAAAGACAAAGAAUUAUCGUCUUCAUCUCAACAGACAGAACUAAAUGAUAGUGAUGGGAAUAUUUCAAGUAUUUCUGAUGAAAAAACACAGCUUCAAAAAACGGAAGUCUCCUAGUGCUGAUAAUAUUGUAUUAAAGACUACACAAGCUGAAAAAAUAGCAGAAAUUUCAAAAAAAAUAGAAAAAGCAGCUACUUAUAUCUCGAAAAAAAACCUAUAGGAUCUAUUGAAGCAAUGUUUCCUUCGGCUUCUAUUUUAGAAAAUAAUAAAAAGGACGAGACUCAAGAUAAUAAAAGUGCACAUAUCCUUAUUAAGUUCGAUUAGUAUUAGGAGUUCAAGUUUAGAAAAUUUGAGUCCAAAGUUGGCAAUAAAUUCUAAGUUAAUGGUAUAAAAUUUCCAGUGCCAACACCGAGAAAUUUACAAAAGAAAGAAUUUAAAAUUCUAUUGAAUCACAAAGACAUUACCCAUUACUAAUGAUACUAACCUAGAAGCGGAUAUAGAUGAUAGUUUACAAACGAAUGAAACAUUCCGUUUAACUAUUACUAUUUAUUAUUGUAUGAUACAUUCAGUUAGUUAAUAUUGUAGGAUGUAUUAUUUUUGAUUUAUAAUUUAUUAAUGACUCAUAAAAUAUUAAUUAUUAUUUCUAUAUUUCAACAAAUCAAAACAAUUGUAAAUGUUAUAUUUAUAUAUAUUUACGUACAAUUACAUUUUUAUUGAAUCUACAUCAAGUUUUAUAUAUAUAUAUUGUUUUAAAUACUAUAUAGAUAAAUAACUGUACUAUAUGGCUUAAUAGGCAAUAUUUUAUUCUUAACAUAUAACGUGUAAUAUUUAAGGAUAUUCAUCACCUCUAGGAAGCACAAAGUGUAUGAGACUUCAGUGGUACGUUUAUAACCUAUAAUCGUGAACGAGGAACACUCUGCCACGUGUUUAUCAUAUCAGUGUAUAAACUUGUAUAGAUUAUAUCUCUCUAAACAAUAACAACCUGAUUAGUGUAUAGGUAUGGUAACAGUUUAUAUAAAGUAUUUUUUAAUUACUCAUAUUUAUAUCUUUUGAUGGUGAUGUGCCUGUCGUUAUGAUUUGUGCUAGAUAAGAUAUAUAUAUACAACAAAUAAUGAAUAUAAUUGAUAACUAAAAUAAUAGCUAUAGAAAUUUGCAAAGAAAACAAAUAAGUUUUUGUCAAAUAUUUGUAUAAAAUAAUAAUCGAUGAUUAUCUAAUUAACGAUGAUUUCUUAAUUAUUUAAACAAUGUACCAUGUUACAUGGCGUACUACGAGAUAAUAUUUAAACACUAGUAUAUUUCCUUACCCAUGACAUACUCGCAAGAUACACAAUGAGUCACUGGUUUUAACUUGUAAAUCUCCAUAUACAACAAUCCUACGUGAUUGGAUACUGGAUCGACAUUAUUGCGAUAUAUCGAAAUCUAAACUUAUAUAGCGAUUAACGCCGAUAUGAUAUAUCAUAUGCUAAUAAUUACAACGCAAACAUUAACCUAACAAGUGGCUGGUUACAGAUCUUA